AUCACGAAAGGGAAGGAGUUUGGGUUCCUGAAUAUCUACUUGGAAGACAGCCUCCAGAGAGAGCUGCCAGACUUUCACUGGACAGUCACAUGAGGGAGAAAUAAACCUAUGUGUGGCACCACUGAGAUUGUCAUUAUAGCAACUGCUACCUACAUAGGUCCUGCACGUAGAACCUACCUAGAGGUCCUACAUCAGACUGAUGGAGAAGAUGCUGCCCUCCUCAGCUGUUCUGCACAUUGAUAUGGUGGUGGUGACUGGAUGGGACUUUGCAUUGUCCUCUGUGGGGUGAGCUGCAAGCAAAGGACUCUAAGAUGAAACUGUCACACAUGCAUGGUGGAAGGAGCCCAACUGACAACAGAUACUUAUGAGUAAGUAAUCACUUUGUACUGAGGAUAGUAU